AGCUGGUAAAGUAACAUUUUUUGUUAACCGAAAAUUAAAUUUCAUCAAAAUCAGGUUGCCGUCGCAUUGUACGUAUAUAUUUCUUAAUGGGUUGAACUUUGCAAGAAGAACACUUUUAAAAAUUUCUAUGUACAUUUGAGCCAGUCUUUGGAAUCAAGGUGAAAAUGGCUGCGGUUUAUCAUUCUAAAACUAUUGCUUGGAGGUUGGUGAUCUUUCUUAGCGUUUUUCUUGUACUUUUGUUUGCCUUGAUGGGAACUGCCGCAAAUGCCUCGGGAACAUUUCAAAUAUUUUAUUCCACCGACGAAAAGGAUACAUCGAUGACUGCUAAAAGGAAUUCUAACAAACCUUCUCACCAGACUAUUUUCUGCCGACACAAUCCCAGGCUAUGCAAUACUGGCCACACUCCUUCCAGCGGCGAUGGCGGAUUCUGUCCAUGCACCGUACAAACAGUAUUUUGCUGCUCCUGGGGACGGUAGAAAAUCUAAAGAACUAUCUUGAGCAUUUGCCCAUUAUACAUUAAUACGAGUAUGGCUGGCUGUGAUCCCUUUAUCAUUUCGAGCUGUAUCAAUCAGUAUCAAUGUAUCAAUGUAUCAGUAUCAAUGUAUCAAAACUGACUAUAACUAUUAAAAUUGAUACCCGA